rnacentral:tRNA from 1 species
AGCCCGGUCGUCUAGCGGCCAAAGGAAAACCCGGCUUGGGAUGCGGGGCUUUGGACCCCGUGGCCCGGGUUCGAAUCCCGGCCGGGCUACCA